ensembl:misc_RNA Y_RNA Y RNA
AGCUUAUUUGAUGGUAGUGGGUUAUUAGAACUUAUUAACAUUAGUGUCACUAAAGUUGAUAUACAACCCCCGCACUGCUAAAUUUGACUGGCUAGUA